rnacentral:lncRNA from 1 species
AUGGAGAGGAAGCGGUUGAUACAAGGUGGGACUGACCACAAAGGCUCACAGCAGCUGAACUCUUGCACCAAGAGUGUUUUGAAAGAUGAAUGGACAUUGCAGCCCAGUUUGAGAAAGCCAUGGCAAAGUCAGUUCAGAAACAUCACUUUUAGCGCUUCUGAACCUUCUCUUCCAGCAACUUUAGUCUUCAACAGCAUCUCCUUUAAUAUUGAUGGUUCCAUCCAAUAUAAAGAAAAGUCUUAUUUCUCUGCCUCCGAAGCCCUAGACGCUUACAUUGACGAUUUUUAUUUAAGCUGUAAGCUGCCUGAUAUUAAUGAUGCAAAGGUUAACCCGGAUCAGAGCCCUCUCGAAUUUCUUGCUAAACUAAACAGUGAUGAUAGUGGUGCUUGCCUUUUUUCAGUUGGUCUCCAUCCAAGAAGCUUUAGUGCCUGAUUGUUUUACAAAUAUGACAUUUAAUCAAUCCUAAUUCUCAAGAAACUUAAUUCACUAAGCAUUAGUGGAUCUUUAGAAGUGUUUCAUUAUGCACGUGCACUCCUGAAAUGUCUUUAAUGUUUAUCUUCUGGUAUUUAGAAGACUCUUCGUUGACAAAGAAAGCUGCCAGAGAAAAAUUUAAGUGUAUUCAGUGAUAUAUUCGGAAUGUAUUUUUGGAAGACCAGAAAUUGUAACAUUUUAAUAGUACUUUGUUGGUUUUUUUUUAAUCGGUAAAUAGGUAGUUUCUGGUAUAACCAGAUGGCUUGAAACACACACACAAAAAAAAACAUAUAAAAAGGCAUAUAGUGAAAAAAUUCACUCUCUUCCAUAACCCCCAGCCAACCCGGUCCCACCACAACAUACACAAAAUGAAAAUCAUGCUUAUUCGUUUCUUAGAAUUUCUCCAGAUGUUCUUUAUGCAAAUAUAAGCAAAUAUGAAUUCAUAUUCAUAACUUUCCUUUAUAAAACAAAACAUUGCUUUCUGUGCACACUGUUCUGUAUGUUGCUUUUUUUACUGAAAAACUAUAUCUUGGGGACCUUUCCAUAUUGGCAUAAGAAGUGGUUUAUCAUUAUUUAUAGCUGGACAAUAGUUUUCUGUAUGGGUACAUUCUAAUUUAUUUAACUAGUCCCUCAUUUGUGAACAAGUAAGUUGUUUCCAGUAUUUUGCUAUUAUGAAGUUACUAUAAUGAAUAUCCUUUUACAUAUAUUAUUUUAUACAUACAUAAGUAUAUCUGUUAAAUAAAUCACAUUAGUAGAAAUCUGGGUCA